CAUCCCGCAGCCCAGAGCCCACCCUAAUCUUCCCCUAUCUCUCCGCCCUCUCUCCCUUAUCUCUUUCUCUCCCGAUCUGAGCGGCGGCGGUGGCGGCUCCCAUCCUCUUCCUCCACUCCUCUCCCUCAGAUUGAGCUCCGCCCCGAAGGAAAGGGUACGCGGCCGUCGAUCUGUGUGUGUCUAGCCAUGGAGGGCUCGCCCCUCUCGCGCGCCUCGUCCGCACAGAGCGCUAGCAGCCCACACGGCAUAGAUCCACUAUCCCUGCGUCCGCCCCACACCGGCCGCCGGUGACUGCCGCACUAUUCCAUUCCUCCCCAAGCGUGCCGCACGCGACGGCCCAUGCUGCCAUGCCGUUUUUCUGCAGCUAGACUGCCACCCCUACCCUCGCGCUCCGGGCAGAGGCUCAUUCUUCUUGGUGGUGACCACGCGUUCCUCCCGGUGGUGGCGCUCUGCCCGCUGUGUUGCCUUUCUCCAAGCAGCUGUGCCCUUCGACCCCUACCUGUAAUCAAUUGAUCCGGCAACAGAGAGUUGAAGCUGCAAAGAAGCGUGAUGAGGAAAAAGCCGGUACACCACUACUCUUUGAAAUAUUUGGGAGAGGAUGACUAAUCUAAUAUUGCCAAGAUAUACGUUUGUUGUCCUUGACCUGAUUUUGAUGGCACUCAAUUUAUUUCAGCUUGGAGUUGGUUUGUAUUGUUUCUGCAAACAAUUGUCUGAACAUGUAAAUAAUAGUUGGUCACAAGUCAUAUGGGUACAGUGCAUCAUAACAACUCUGCCCCUACACAAUAUACAUCCCAUUACUUAUUUUUUUGGUAUGAUAAGUUGAGAAACAACUUGUUUUGUUGUUUUUUGAUGUGAACUACAUUAUAUGGACCUUUCACUCGAUUAUGUGCUAUAUUUUUUUACUAUAAUUGACAUGUUGAUAUGUCAUUCUAGAAUUUUGUUACUUCUGUUGGAACCUAAUUUUCAAUUUUACACCUUGCAGAAUUUAUGACUGACAGAUUACAUGCUGGUUUCUUACUGCUUAGGUUUCGACAUUCGACAUUUGAACAAAUCAUAUACUGGAGAUUAUUAUAAUAGAAGGUAAACUUACCAAACGAACAGAGCGAACAAUACUUUUGUUAGUGUUUUCCAGUCUGUUGCAUGCGCAUUGUGGUCACUACUGGCAAUCCAUGGAAAUUUAAAUGUAUAGUGAUGGAUUAAACAAAUGGAACCUAUAUCCUGACUUGCCACUACUAUACUGUAGCUUCUGAAACACUUAUAUGCACAGAUAGUUUCUCUUUUAUCAUAACUGAAACAUUAUAAAGAUAAAUCUCACUCAGUUUUUAAGUGGGGAAGGGAAAGCUUCAAGAUAUUGCAUUUAAAACACUGAUAUCUAUUUGAAAAUUAAUUCAUGUGCAUACCUCCUGGAUCCUAUCAUUAUCAUGUCUCUAUUUCUCUUGUUCAAGAGAAGCGUGAAACAAAGCACUCAUAUUCACAGCAGCACAUACAGUUAUUCUAUGCUAUCAGAAAUAAGGUCGUUAAUAUUCAGAUAUAUGCAUGUAAACUUGGCCGGUUAAUCAUCAAACACACACACACACACACACACACAAACACCACGCUGGAAGGUGGUAUUCAUGGUUGAUAGAUGUCCCUAUAAUAUUGUACAUUGUUCCUCUGAUCCAUUGCGAGGUAUAUAAAUGAUUCGAUUUUGACUUUAUUUUUUCAUCUUAGUUCACCUAGUGUUGGAUAAAAGUUGGACAGAUCCACAUAGGUAAGUCUUAUCCAUAUAAUGCUUUUACAAUCUGCCAGUGGAACUUUAAAUGAUACGAUUUACCAAUUUCAACGAUGUAUAUUAGCAGAUUAAGUAAAAGCAGUGUUAUAUAUGAAAUGAACUUAAUUCAACCAUUCUCUAGAAGAAAGUACCUAUUUGUCAUAUGGCGAUGUUAUCUUGUAGAACAACAAUAGGGAUUUGUUAACAUUCGACCUUUAUGCUGUACUUUUUCCAUUUUGAUUCGCCUACUGUUAAUAUCCUCUUCUUCAACUGACACAUUCUUGCAAGCUAUCACAAUUGAUGAAAUAUAAUUACGAGCACUUAGCUUUUUUGAAUUUUAUAUGCAUACCAGAAGAUUUACUCGUUACAAACAUUAAACAGACGGACCUCUUUUUCAACAAGUUGUUUCAAAUCCCACUGAGACAAAAUAAAAGUGUGCUACUGCUAAUUACUAUACUGGAACAGAAUGUAUGGUUGACAUAAAGGCUAUAUUGGAAUAUUUUAGCUGUUGUGGUGUUCCUAAUAACUUAAAACUGCUGUGAAGAUGAACUGAACAAUAAUACUCUCAAAUUAGAGAGCAAGAAAUUUCGAGUUAGUCUACUGUAGGGUAAUAAAGUUCUUAUAUAUGCUGCAAAUCAGUUGCCUUGUGGUGUAAUCACUGAUGUCAUGUUUCCGUAAGUGCCUGCUCUAAUGACCUUAAUAGUGCAAAGCUAUGUUUUAUAUAAAUUUGCCUAUUCUUUCCAGAGUGCAGGGAAAUGUAUGAGGUGAAUCAAUUUUCCUAUUCUGUUGUUGCUGCUAUAUUUAGGUGUAUGUGGGUUUAAGAUUGGACACUAAUUGUUGAACCAGGAGCUUUCCCUCGUUAGGAAUAUAAGCUGAAACUUUCCCAUUGCCUUGAUUCUUUGUAGGAAAGACAUACAAGAUGACCAGGAACCAUGAAGCUCGCAGUUUGCGUUAACUGUGUAAUGGAGAGGACUAUGAAUCGCUGGACAUGUGUCUAUUAGCUAUCAUAUAUGGUGUCUCAGUCAAGUGGAUAUUCUGUGUAAUGUAAGACGCAUGAUUUGUAGGACAUAUAUCUAUUGGCUAUCAUUUUGUAAACCUAUCCGGUCUCUCGGUCACUGAACCAUAAAUGUUUCCUCUUAAUUGGCUACCUCCUCCGUUUGUGAGAAGUAAUUAAUGUGCUAUUUUUGUUUGGUUUUGGUUUAA